rnacentral:rRNA from 1 species
GCCCGUACUGUAAACCGACACAGGUGGACAGAGUGAGAAACUUAAGGCCGACAGGAUAACUCUAGCUAAGGAACUCUGCAAAAUGGCCCCGUAACUUCGGGAGAAGGGGUGCCUGACAUACCUGAAGGGAGAGACGCCCUGAGGGGAAACAGGCCGCAGUGAAGAGUCCCAAGCAACUGUUUACCAAAAACACAGGUCUAUGCUAAGCUGGAAGGCGACGUAUAUGGGCUGACACCUGCCCAGUGCCGGAAGGUUAAGAGGAGGAUUGAGAGAUUCGAAUUGAAGCCCCGGUGAACGGCGGCCGUAACUAUAACGGUCCUAAGGUAGCGAAAUUCCUUGUCGGGUAAGUUCCGACCUGCACGAAUGGUGAAAUGAUUUGAGAGCUGUCUUGGCUGGAGACCUGGUGAAGUUGUAAUGCCGGUGAAGAUACCGGCUACCUGCAGUAGGACGGAAAGACCCCGUGGAGCUUUACUGUAGCUUGGCAUUGGGUUUUGGCAAUGUGUGUAUAGGAUAGUUGGGAGACUAUGAAGUAAUGGCGUCAGUUGUUACAGAGUCGCUGUUGGAAUACCAACCAUAUGUUGUUGAAAUUCUAAUCUGGUAACGGAGACAGUGCUAGGUGGGCAGUUUGACUGGGGCGGUCGCCUCCAAAAGAGUAACGGAGGCGUUCAAAGGUUCCCUCAGGCUGGAUGGAAAUCAGCCUAAGAGUGCAAACGCAUAAGGGAGCUUGACUGCAAGACUGACGGGUCGAGCAGGUACGAAAGUAGGAGUUAGUGAUCCGGCGGUUCCGCAUGGAAGGACCGUCGCUCAACGGAUAAAAGCUACCCCGGGGAUAACAGGCUGAUACUUCCCAAGAGUCCAUAUCGACGGAAGUGUUUGGCACCUCGAUGUCGGCUCGUCUCAUCCUGGGGCUGGAGAAGGUCCCAAGGGUUGGGCUGUUCGCCCAUUAAAGAGGCACGCGAGCUGGGUUCAGAACGUCGUGAGACAGUUCGGUCCCUAUCCACUGCAGGCGUUAGAAUAUUGAAGGGAUCUGUCCUUAGUACGAGAGGACCGGGAUGGACGGACCACUGAUGUACCGGUUGUCACGCCAGUGGCACGGCCGGGUAGUCACGUCCGGAAGGGAUAACCGCUGAAAGCAUCUAAGCGGGAAGCCCACCCUGAGAUGAAUGUUCUUUCAAGCAUCCGCCGAGAACAGGCGGUGAUAGGCCGGGGGUGCAAGCAUGGCAACAUGUUCAGCUGACCGGUACUAAUAAUGCGUAGGCUUACUUCA